GUAUGUACCUGUAGUCCUACCUACUUGGGAGGCUAAGGCAGCAGGAUUGCUUGAGCCCAGGAGUUUGAGGCUAAACUCAGAGGCAAAGCCCCCUCCCCCAACAGUGAGCUCUCUUCACACCACUGCACUCCAACUUUAGUGACAGAGCAAGACCCUGUCUAUAAAAUAAAAAGUUAAAAUGUUGCUAUUGCUAUCAUUAAAAGCUUUUUGUUUGGGUCUGUAGAGAUAGCUUCUCACUUUCUAUCUGGAGAAGCGUUCCUGGACCUUCCUCGAGGGCAGCGAGGAGAGGCGUUAGGCCACGUGGACUUCUGUGGGCCUGCCUAGGCCGUGAACUCCCAGGCCCACUCCCUCUAGGGUGAUGACUUGUGUGUGAACACGGAUGUCAGUUUCAUUUAGAAUCAACUCACAUGGAAUCUGUAGCUCACAAGAAAUGUGGUUACAGAAUAUGCUUAGUAAUGCUUGGCAUGUUCAUUUCUUUUUUUUUAAGGAAAGACUGGAAAAAUCUGAGCCUGAAAGGCUUCAUCUGGACUCAAAGGCAAAACUGCCUUCUCUCCCCCUCCCUGUCACCCACCACUUCCUGGCAGCAGCUUUGGUAUCUGGGGCUGCUGCUGUCUUACAGUGUGAGACACUUCAGGAGCCCUUGCCCUCCCUCCCCACAGCUCAUCAGAGUCCGUCAGCUCUCAAAGGCCAGCAGCCUUGCCUCUCCUUGCCUGGGAGCAGUUGUGGAUGUCAGCCCCGUUUGCUCUUGGUGUGCCAGGAGGUGUGUCGUAUGGGGAGGUGAGCAGCGCGCCUGCCUGUGUUGCCAGGGCGCCUCCAAGCCCUGGCAGGAGAAAACCAACCCCAGGAAAGGAAGCCCAGUGACUAGAGGUCAGCGAAUGUGGCCGGAGGCCUGAGGGCUCUGAUGCGGGGAAAGGCCGGGCAGCAGAAACCCUAGAUUAUGAAGGGUAAAAUCUGAUUACUUGCUGAGGCCAGUGUGUUUUCAGUGUUUCUUUAAUCCACUGGAAGUCAGAGGUGAGUGAAAAUUUCAUAAAAGAAUUAUUUUUUCCUUCUGGGUCUUGCCGCCUUUUGAUCUUGGCAUAGGACAAGGAUCUGCUCAAGGGUCGUUUCUCGGAUCUUUCCUUAGUGCUGUUUGCUAUUUACGCUUCUCCCUGGCCCCAAGCAACAGGCCAGAUCAGGCCCUCAUGUGACAAGCUGGGAGUUCCCCAUGAGAAGAGCCACCUCAACGGGGAUGAGCAGUCCCGGAGCACGUACUGCCUGUUGGAGGCCGUGUUAUACACAUGCGCAUAUGCUGACCCGCCAUGAGCGCCACCUGUGUCCAGUGUGCUUUGUCUGUGCCCCACAGCAUGUGAGGGGUGGAGCCAGGAUGUGCUCCUGUGACCCAAGGGAGCCGGUGACCCAGGUGCCAAGGCCAGCGUCCUUAACUCCCACCACGCAGCUCUCCUAAUGGUGAAUGCGGCCCAAUGCCUGUCCUGACCAUCUGCGUAGGGCUGUGCCUUCUGGUAAAUGUUAGGUAUCAGGUGGGAGGGACAGUGAAUGAGGAAGGGGACAAGGACAGUCUCCAGGUAACUGUAGAUAAUAUGCGUGCUUCUCAGGGUGGUGAUACAAUCUCAUGGGCUUUAGUAUCUAGGUCAGAAUUCUGACCUGUUUGUAGUUAUGUGUUCUCUGAGUCCGUUUUCUCAUUUAUAAAGUAGAGAAACUUCAACCUGACUUACUGCAAGGCAGUUGUGAACAUUGAAUUGUGCAGCCUUUUUGUUAGAGAUGGGAUCAUGCUGUGUUGCUCAGGCUAGAGUGCAGUGGCUAUUCACAAGUGCAGUCAGCACACUACAGCCUAGAACUCUGGUGAGUGAUCCACACACCUCAGCCUCCUAAGUAGCUGGGACUGCUGACAUGUGCCACCGUGUCCAGCUUAAAUUGUGCAACAUUUAACAUUUAACAUUUCUAAGAAAGAAAACCUCUUUCUUAGUGUCUGGCACAUGAGAAAUACUGAGUAAGUAUUGGCACUUCUCCUGCUACUGUUCUUUGGUGACCACGCAGUGGAUAGUGAAGCUAGGUUUUAAGUCUUUACUGAGCACCCAUUAUGUCUCAGGCACUGUUUUGGGCUUUUAGAAUACAUCAGUGAACCAAAUAGAUUCUGGCCUCCAUGAAGCACACAUUCUAGAGUGGGUAACAGACAAUAAGCAGUGAACCAAUAAGCAGAUGGCAUGUUAAAAAGGAAAUGUUGUAGAAGGAAACAGUAGGCAGGUUUAGGGGGCUUGAGAGUGUGGGGGAGGGGUGGAAGGCGUCUGUUGCAGAAUUAAAUAGGGUGGGCAGGCCUGAUUCAGAAGGUAAGAUUUGAGCAAAGCUCCCAGGCGGUGAAGGAGUUGGCCCAGUGCAUUUCUGGCAAGUGGAGAUCCCUCCCAUCCAGGUGAGGUGCCUGACAGUGUGAGGCCCGAGGCAGGAGUGUGCCUGGUGGGCGAGGCGCGGAGGAAGGAGGAAGGCGGUCAGAGAGCUGCAGGGUGGAGGCGGGGCACAGAGGGCCUUGCAGGCUGUGGGAAGAACUUGGCUUGCAUUUUGAAUGAGAUGAGGAGUCUUUGGUGGAUUUUUAGCAAAGGGAUAACAUAGCCCUGUGUAAGUUUUAAAGAGAUGCUGUGAGUGCCAGGUUGAGAACAGACCCUAAGAGGACAAGCGUGGGAUCUGGCUCCCGCCAUAACCUGGCAAGAGAUGGUGGAGACGAUGAGACGCCUUCAGAUUCCUGACGUGUUGUGAAGCUAGGACCAGCUGGCUGCCCUGAUGGAUCGCGUGUUUCCACCGUGGGAACUGAGUAUUGGAAGGAUCUGCGGCAACGUGGGCAGGAGAAAUAGGCGUCAUUUUUAAGAAGAGAGGAGGACACAGACACACAUGGGGGAGCCCAUGCGAAGACAUGGAGACCGCCCUGUGCAAGCCAGGAGAGAGGCCUCAGCAGGAAACAAGCCUGCCAACACCUUGAUCUCACACUUCUCGCCUCCAGCACUGUGAGAUAAUAAAGUUCUGUUGUUUAAGCCAC